AUAAUAAGAGCAGCACGUAUACUGACAUUGGAAGAGCACAGGCAAGAUGAGUAUGGCCCCUGUACAGGAUGACACGCAGAUUUGUGAAGCAUUCCAUAUUUUU